UGGGCAUAAUACCUUUGUUUUGAACCCAUUGCCUCACACAUGCUAGGAAAGCACUCUACCAUUGAGCCACAACCCUAGCCCCAGGCAGUAUCUUUAUUUAUAGUAGUUUUAUUGUCAUUUGUCACAGGAUGUGGAAUAAGAAUUCAAUGGAUACCUUUAUAAAGUAGUUAUCCUAAAUUUUAAUUUAAUUUAAUUUAAUCUAAAUGCUUUUCUCCUUGCCUGUUUUCGCAUCUCUCUUACAUUUUAUAUAUUUCCCCUUUUUUAUUGGCUCUUUUUCUUUCUCUUAUAAACAAUUAUAGGUAUUUUAUCCUGGGUAACAUAAAAGAGAUAAGCCCGGUGCAGUGGUUCAUGCCUUAAUCCCAGAAGUUUGGGAGACUGAGACAGGAGGUUCAUGUGUUCAAAACCAGCCUCAGCAAAAGUGAGGCACUAAGCAACUGACUUAGACCCUGUCUCUAAAUAAAGUACAAAAUAGGGCUGGGGUUGUGACUCAAUGGUUGAGUGCCCCUGAGUUCAAUUCCGAGUACAAAAAGAGGGAGAGAGGAAAAAAAAAAAAUCACAUUAACCCUUUAGCUACUGGCCUUUUUUUUUUUUUUUUUUUAAGACAGGCUCUCACAAAGUUGUUUAGGCUGGCUCCAAACUCCUGGACUUAAAGGAUACACCUGUCUCACCUUCCCCAAUAAUUGGGACUACAGUUGUGCAUGUAUCACCACUUUGAGCUUGUCUUUUUUUCUUCUCUUUUUACCUAGUCUUCUUAAGCUUUGUCUACAUUCUGUAGAUCUCUAGUUCCUUACCUUGCAAUUGCGUAGUAAUUCUCUAUCAAUUGCAGUCCUGCAUCAAUCCCAGCUAGUCUAAAAUAAUCAGCUACUUUUUUUUGUUUUUUCUAUCACUGUAUUACCUGGCCACUUUUGACCAUUCUUUAUUCUUUUGCUUUGUGUGAUAAUCUCUUCUGGUUGGCCUCUUUAACUUUGUUCUUUAAAUGUUCAUGUUCUCCAGGGUUCUCCUUAACACAGUCUACAUUUUCUCUAAAGAAUCUCAUCAAUGAUCGUAAAUCUGGAAGAUUUAAAAAAAAAAAAAAAAAAACCUCCAUUGGAAGACUAUUAGGACUAAUAAAUUUGGCAAAGUAAGGUGAAGGAUGUAGCUCUGUGGUGGAGUGCUUGCCUAGCAUGUGUGAGGCAGUGGGUUCAGUCCUCAGCACCACAUAAAAAUGAAUAAAUAAAAUAAAGAUAUUGUGUCCAUCUACAACUAAAAGUUUUUAAAAGUUUGGCAAAGUACUAGGUUAUAAUAAAAUUGACAUACAAGAAUCAAUAGCAUUCCUAUUAUAACAAUGAAUCUGCUGAGAAAACAAUCAGGAAAACAGUUCCAUUCAUAAUAGCCUAAUAAAGAGAAAGAAAAUACCUAGGAAUAAAUCUAACCAAGGAAGUGAAAGACCUCUACAAUGAAAACCAUAGAACAUUGAAGAAAAACAUUGAAGAAGACUUUGGAAAAUGGGAAGACCUCCCAUGGUCUUCAUGGAUAGGCAAAAUUAAAAUUACUAAGGCUGGGGAUGUGGCUCAAGCGGUAGCGCGCUUGCCUGGCGUGCUUGCGGCCCAGGUUCGAUCCUCAGCCCCACAUACAAACAAUGAUGUUGUGUCCGCCCGAAACUAAAAAGUAAAUAUUAAAAUUCAUUCUCUCUCUCUCUCUCUCUCGCUCUCGCUCUCUUUGAAAAAAAAAAUUAAAAUUACUAGAAUGACCAUAUCACCAAAAGCAAUACACAGAUUCAAUGCAAUCCCCAUCAAAAUACUAAUGACAUUCUUCACAGAACUAGCAAAAACAGUCCUAAAAUUCAUUUGGAAGAAUAAAAGACUGAGACUAGCCAAAGCAAUUCUAAGCCAAAAAAAGCAGUGCUAGAGGCAUCACAGUGUCUGUCUUCAAAUUAAGCUAUCUAGCUAACAACCUGCAUGGUCCUGGCAUUAAAACAGACCAGUGGUACAAAAUAGAAUACAGACAAAUUCACACAAAGGCGCCAAAAACAUAUUGAGGAAAAGACAGCCUUUUAAACAAAUGGUACUGGGAAAACUGGUUAUCCUUAUGUAGAAGAAUGAGACUAGUACCUUACCUCAAACUGCACAAAAAAUCAACUCAAAAUGGAUGAAAGACAUAGCCAUUAGACCAGAAACACUGCAAUAACUAGUAGAAAAUGUCACACUCCAGCAAAGAGGCACAGGCAUUAACUUCUCAACAGGACCCCCAAAGUUCAGGAAAUAAUGCCAAGAGUUAAUGCAUGGGGUGGCAUCAAAUUAAAAAGGUUUUUUUUUUUUUUAAUUCUUUUGUUUUUUAGUCAUACAUGACAGCAGAAUGAAUUUUGACAUAUAAUACAUACAUGGAAUGUACAUACAUCAAUCAUAUUGUCAAUUCUGCUGCCCUUCCUAUCCUCCUUACUCCUCCCCUCCUCUCCCAUCCUUUCUCUCCAUCCAAUCUAAUGUUACACACUUUUUUUUCUUUUUCUCAUUACAACAUCAUAUAUGUAUUCUGUAUCACAAUGAGGUUCUCCUUCCAUCUUCCAUGUAACUCCCCUUCUCCCUCCUUUUCCCUCCCACCUCUCUUCCUUAUUUAGUGGUAGUCUUCUUCUCAUGCUCUUCUUCCCUAUCCCAUUUGAGUCACCCCCCUUACAUCAGAGAAGACAUUUGGCAUUUGUUUUUUAGGGACUGGCUAACUUCACUUAGCAUGAUCUGCUCUAAUGCCAUCCAUUUGCCUGCAAAUGCCAUGAUCUUGUUAUUUUUUAGUGCUGAGUAAUAUUUCAUUGUGUAUAAAUGCC
rnacentral:lncRNA from 1 species